rnacentral:lncRNA from 13 species
CUGAGAUGGAAUCUGGCUCUAUUACCCAGGCUGGAGUGCAGUGGCACCAUCUCGGCUCACUGCAACUUCUGGUUCAAGCGAGUCUCCUGCCUCAGCCUCCUGAGGAUCUGGGACUACAGGUGGGGAACUCAGGACUAACACCCGACACAGCCAAAAUGGCUGCAGUGGAGCUGAAGCGAGAUGGCAGAAGGCUGCAGUAUGCCAUGAACGUUCUUGCUGGUGACAGAGAAUACACGAGCAUUUUCUAUGGACCAGAGGUAGGGUAAGCAGAAGAGAUAUUUGGCAUAGGGUCUUAUUAUGUUCUAU